UCGCAUACGCGACAAGUAAUAGGUAGGUUCGCGUAUUCUUUAGUCAACGGACGUAAGAUUUUAAUCGUAGCAUUAAAAUUGAGUGAAACUGAAACAUUGUAAGGGCAUUUUGUUAGUUAAAUAUGAUAUCUGGAAGAUCUGCAGUCACAGAAAAUCCUUUGGGGUUUUCUUGGCACGACAGUGCCUGGAUCCCAGUACUUAAUCCAAGCAAUAUAAUGGAUUAUUUUUCUGAACGAAGUAAUCCUUUUUAUGAUAGGACAUGUAAUAACGAAAUUGUAAAAAUGCAACGUCUAAGUCCCGAUCAAUUAACAAAUAUGACUGGCUUGGAAUAUAUUCUUCUACACGUUCAAGAACCUAUUUUAUAUGUAAUUAGAAAACAACAUCGUCAUUCUCCUACUUUAGCUGCACCACUUGCAGAUUAUUAUAUCAUUGCAGGUGUUGUAUAUCAAGCUCCAGAUUUAGCAUCAAUCGUUAGUUCUAAAUUGCUUUCCACAGUUCAUCAUUUACAAUCUGCAUUUGAAGAAGCUAGUUCAUGUUCCCGUUAUCAUCCUAGUAAAGGAUAUUAUUGGGAUUUUAAAAAUGGAAAAUCCAUUACUGCUAAGAAAGAAACACCAGUACGUGAAGAACCAAGUUCCUUAUUUCAGCGUCAAAGAGUAGAUAUGUUACUUGGAGAACUUACACGUAAAUUUCCUUUACCUGUACCAAAACCAGCACAUCAGGCAACAGAAACUACUACUGAAAUUAAACAAGAAGUGAAGGUUGAAAAAAAGGAUAUGAAACCACCACCAGAAAAGAAACCAAGAGUAAAUUAAAGAGAAUAUUUUUUUGUAAAUCUAUAAAAAACAUGUACACCAUUGUGAUAUAUAAAAACUAGUCUUUAUUUAAAUUGUUGCAUUUUGUCAUGGUAUUAAAAAGACGCGGGAAAUAAAUACUAUACCUACAUGAAAGGGCCCUUACGCAAUGGCUCGUUUUACGUUUAAUUUCAUACGGCACUGUCAAUAUCAUCUCAUUAGAUAUUUGCGCGCAUGCGUAGGAAUUAAUUUAUAAUAUAAAAAAUUAUGUAUUUACGUUUUUGAUAGAUCUCACAUAGAAAUGUAUUAGUCCAAUAUAUUAUAUUAAAUUAUUAGAAAUAGAUUUGGUAAAGUAGAGCGAAGAAUGUGCGACGAUAACGUGUGCGAUGGUGGCUUAGAAACUAAAAUUUGUCAAGAUGAAGAUUAUACUUUCGAUGAAUUUAUCACGAAUUUGCAACAUAAGAAGUGUAAAGUGAUACAACUGGUACGAAGACAAAUACAUGAGUUCAGGGAUAUGCAA